rnacentral:rRNA from 1 species
ACUUWAAUUGAAGAGUUUGAUCAUGGCUCAGAUUGAACGCUGGCGGCAGGCCUAACACAUGCAAGUCGAGCGGAAACGGCAGUAUUGAAGCUU